UGAUACCCCAAGGAGCACACUUGCUUUUGUGACAUCUAUAAGAUAUCAGUUUUUAGGCUACUUUUUGACUUAUCGAUAAGGCACAAAUAUGCUGACAAAACGAUCAGAAAUUUAUAUCACCGAAAAAAUGUCUACUUAAAAGACUUAACACAAGUGACGACAAAAAGUAAAUUACAAAUAGUGAUAAAAUAAGUCAUCUAAAUGGUUUUUUUAUUGAAAUGAGACAGGAAAAACAACACAAUUCUUCUCUGUCUUCGGAACAAACAUUUGCAUGUCGUAUUUAUACCAAAAAAGAUGACUUGGGGACAAUAAAAAAUUUGUCUUGUCCUUUUAAAAGACAUCUUUAAGACAUUUUAAAGUUGUCUCUGUGCUACUUGGGACCUAAAAGAUACUCUCCAUAAUGUGAUCAAUCAAGAAACAUUGCAGUUGACAGCAGAAAUUAAAUGUCUCACUUACGGAUGGCUCUUGAAAUUUUUGAAUUAAUGGUUAAGGCAUACUGAAUAAUUUGAAUCAAUUACAUAAAAAUGUUAAAACAGAUAGUGAGCGAGCUUACCUGCUUUCUGCUAAAGAAUGUGAUAUAAAUAAUGAUUUAAAGCGUUACCAUCAGUCUGAAGUUCCUUGGACAUGCCCUGGUUUUUAUGAUGUCCGGAGCAGUCAGAUGAUACUGAAGAUAGCUGACGUCUGAUAAUUUUUGGAUUUUUUUUAAAUCGCGAAUUACUGUAAAAAAAUGGGCUUGAUAUAUUUGUGUUGGAAAUUGAACGGCAUAUAAAAAAGGUUUCUUAUCAUUUUAUGGGAAAUCUAAUUCUUCAACAGUUAUUAAAGGUAAAAUUAAAAUUAUUUCGCGAUUUACUCGUACAUAUUAGACAGAAGAUGUAAAUAAAAUAUUAAACAAAUUUCUAUUGAAAAAGAAACAAUCGUGAAGAAAUUAUAAAAAAUUAAACUAUGUUGGUUGAUAAGUGUUGCUUGGUUGAGGCAAAGCGUUAGUAGUAUUGGGCAUUGAGUUAAGUAGGCCUACUCCCGGCGUUUACUCGUGAGACCUGAAGAUGUGUAAUGGAGCAUCAAAUAAAUGUGAUUGGAUGUACGAGUCGUUUCUGGCGUGCUAGGACCUUAAGAAUCACAUGCAUUAUUGUAGGAGGGAGAUUAUUCACGAUUGACAUUGGAAGAAUCAGCGGCUUUACAGAGUUUAUGGAAAAUAUAUCGAUUUAGUAAUCGUUAAUGAAGAUUUUGACGAUAUACAUUUCGUCAGGUAAUUGCGGUGCACUGGACGACUUGGCUAUUAAACAUCAAUGGGUACCAGUCAAUUGGAUCUAUUGAUUUUGAUACAUAAUAAAAAAUAAAUACACGAGAAAAUAAUUAUAUGAAUAGUGAAGUAAAUAAAUUUGGUUGAUUUAUUAUUAUAAUUAUUAUUGUUUAAUAUAGUUCAGUAAAACUGAAUACAGUUUUUGUUUAUAUUGUAAAGAAAAAAAUGUAUGGAUAGAAUUGUUAAAACAAUGAA